ACAAUUUGAUCAAAUUCCUUGUUUAUUUUCUUCAUUUGACUUGUUAGUCCCUGAUUAAAAUAAAUGAUUACAUGAUUAUCUUAAGAAUUUUUCAAUGACAUAUAAUUCAAAGAUAAGCAGUCAUAGCAUAAUAGAGUCGAUAUGCACGAUUCUUGAAAAUAGUUUUUCCCUUAUAAUUUGAGACAAAAAAAUAGAGUAUUUUCUCUUAUAAUUUGGGACGGAGGGAGUAUGCAUGCAAAAAUACCAACAAAUGAAUAUACACCGUCAAUUAUUACGUCAACUGCCUACAUGAUUUCCACCAAAUACUGGUUUUAUAUUUUUCUACUUUAAAAAACAUUGUUUGUGUUUCUUCUCCUUUUUUAGCCUAUGAUUUUUUAGGNNNNNNNNNNNNNNNNNNNNNNNNNNNNNNUUUUUUUUUUUGAUAAGCCCUAUGAUUUUUUAGGUGAAAAGUCAUUGAUUUUAACUUAUUCAAGUAUAUAAUUUAAUGAAUCAUAAAGAAAAAGAGAACUAUAGCUUUCUUCACACUUAUAAACUAUAAUAAUAUUGACUUUUUAAACAUUACUUAAUUAUUUACCAGUUUUAAAGGACAAUUAUAAAUUUCAUAUUUGUAGUCGUCUUCAAUUCCUAUUAAAAAAAAAAAACUUAACUCUAUAUAAAGUGUUCAAUAGUGUUUUUUGUCCUAUACUAUACCCACAUCAUCACAUGAUUAAUUUUAUCCUAUAGUAUCAACAUAGUUAUUUUUAUAAUUUUUUUAUUAUAUAUCUGGUACUUUCACUUAUAAAUAUUUAACAUCCCUUUUUCUAUCUAAUGUGGGAUUCAACAUUUGAAAAUCCAUCAAUGGGACACGCCACCUGAACACCUUGAUCAGUAAGAUUUUCAAUACAAGGAAUCAGUUCAAUCAUCGGCUUUGAUACCCCUCAAAC
rnacentral:lncRNA from 1 species